AGCCUGAUCCAGCCAUGCCGCGUGUGUGAAGAAGGCCUUUUGGUUGUAAAGCACUUUAAGCGAGGAGGAGGCUACUUGGAUUAAUACUCUAGGAUAGUGGACGUUACUCGCAAAAUAAGCACCGGCUAACUCUGUGCCAGCCGCCGCGGU
rnacentral:rRNA from 1 species